rnacentral:lncRNA from 1 species
UUAUGCUACUCUAAAACCACUAUAUAUAUAUAUAUAUAUAUUUAUCUUUUAUGAGUUUUAAAAUUAUGUAAUCACCCUUGAAAUACAUUGGCUACACAUUUUAAGACUGCAUAAAUUAGUAAGUUUGGUUAAAUAUUGUUUUACAAUUACAAAGCUAUGUAUAGAAUGGGAGUGAAGGUAGCAUACUUGUGAAUUGUGUAAAAAUGUGUCCAUAAACUUAAAGUACAUUUCAAAGGUGAUGUACUAAAUAUCUUAUGUAUGGUGAAUUUUUUCUAGGUAAGAAGAAUUGGAUUUAACUAACAGCAUUCUCUUUGUGAUAUGCAAGAUAGUUAGACAUUUAUAACUUUGUGGGGCAUUGUUUAGAUACUGUGAAGACUUGAGGUGAACUUAUGUCUUGUAAAAGCUUUGUGUAACCAGAAUAUCUUGGGAGUUAUAGAUGCACAUUUAAGUCUAUUAGUAAUUAGAGAAAUCUUAAUUUUACCAGUAGAAAAAAAAAUGACUAUGUCUUUUUUUUUUUUU